UUUUUAAGCAUGAGCAUGUCAAGGCUACCAGGUGACUUACUGGAGAAUUCAGUCUUGGCUUUUGUGCUUGGCUUGGGUUUCUAGGGUUCCCAUGUAACCAGGAAAGCCCACCAGCCCACUAAUACUGUCGGAUUAAGUACUACUCACACAUAGCACCUGGUUGAGUCCCCUCUCAUGGAUCACAUGCACCACAAACACAAAUAAAAGCUUCAGCUUCCUUUUAUGAAAGGAAAAUAACUUGUUAGAAUAUGAAGCGAAUGGUCUGAAUGGUAAGUGAUAGUGAGGGUUCUCUUAUGGCCUAUCUAUUGUGACCUUUAUCUGCUGCUCCUUCACCAACUAUGCUUUAUUGUUAUCCUAUCCCUUGAGCACAGGCUGAAAGACUGGCCAUUAGUUAUCUAACCUUAUUCAUCAGGCAGCCUACAAAACACCAUUCUUAGUUGGAGUUCCAAAUAGAUCUUUGUUUGUCCCUGAUCUUAUAGCUGCUAUAGAGAAGGUAUAUCUUUGUCCACCUGCUACCAAAUGUUAAUCAUUAUUAAAGCUUGUGGUGGGUACCUGG
ensembl:lncRNA novel transcript